CAGUCGCCGCGGGAAUACGUAGGUGGCAAGCGUUGACCGGAAUUAUUGGGCGUAAAGGGCUCGCAGGCGGUUUCUUAAGUCUGAUGUGAAAGCCCCCGGCUCAACCGGGGAGGGUCAUUGGAAACUGGGAAACUUGAGUGCAGAAGAGGAGAGUGGAAUUCCACGUGUAGCGGUGAAAUGCGUAGAGAUGUGGAGGAACACCAGUGGCGAAGGCGACUCUCUGGUCUGUAACUGACGCUGAGGAGCGAAAGCGUGGGGAGCGAACAGGAUUAGAUACCCGCGUAGUCCCUGUCUCUUAUAC
rnacentral:rRNA from 1 species